UACGUAGGCAGCGAGCGUUGUUCGGAGUUACUGGGCGUAAAGGGUGUGUAGGCGGUUUUCUAAGUUUGGUGUGAAAUCUCCCGGCUCAACCGGGAGGGUGCGCCGAAAACUGGGAGACUAGAGUGCGGGAUGGGAGAGUAGAAUUCCUGGUGUAGCGGUGAAAUGCGUAGAUAUCAGGAGGAAUAUCGGUGGUGCAGACGGCUCUCUGGACCGCAACUGACGCUGAAACACGAAAGCGUGGGUAGCAAACAGG
rnacentral:rRNA from 1 species